rnacentral:rRNA from 1 species
UACGUAGGGUGCAAGCGUUGUCCGGAAUUAUUGGGCGUAAAGAGCUCGUAGGCGGUCUGUUGCGUCGGCUGUGAAAACCCGGGGCUCAACUCCGGGCCUGCAGCCGAUACGGGCAGACUAGAGUUCGGUAGGGGAGUCUGGAAUUCCUGGUGUAGCGGUGAAAUGCGCAGAUAUCAGGAGGAACACCGGUGGCGAAGGCGGGACUCUGGGCCGAUACUGACGUUGAGGAGCGAAAGCGUGGGGAGCAAACAGG